rnacentral:rRNA from 1 species
UCGGGAAUUUUUGGGGCAAUGGGGGAAACCCUGACCCAGCAACGCCGCGUGAAGGAUGAAGUAUUUCGGUAUGUAAACUUCGAAAGAAUAGGAAGAAUAAAUGACGGUACUAUUUAUAAGGUCCGGCUAACUACGUGCCAGCAGCCGCGGUAAUACGUAGGGACCAAGCGUUGUUCGGAUUUACUGGGCGUAAAGGGCGCGUAGGCGGCAUGACAAGUCACUUGUGAAAUCUCUGGGCUUAACCCAGAACGGCCAAGUGAUACUGUCGCGCUAGAGUGCAGAAGGGGCAAUCGGAAUUCUUGGUGUAGCGGUGAAAUGCGUAGAUAUCAAGAGGAACACCUGAGGUGAAGACGGGUUGCUGGGCUGACACUGACGCUGAGGCGCGAAAGCCAGGGGAGCAAACGGGGAUUAGAUACCCUUGUAGUCCCUGAGCGGGCUGGCAAGGCGCAU